UAGGAUUGUUAUUUGUGUAUGAAUUGUGUGAUUUAGAUUUAACAAGCUUGAAAAUUCAGUUGUGCUUCUGCUUUUUGAAAUUUGCAACCAUAAAAAGUGAUUUUUAGCUUAAUAAUUUAGGUUAGUAAUUCUAUUGUGAGUUAAGAUGUAGGUGAAGAAGUUUCCUUUUGAAAAGGAAUGGAGAAAUUGCACAUCCAUUAUAACUCAUUUGUUAGAAGUUCUACCUGGUUGAUCAGUCCAUGACCCAAACUCCUAGCUUUAAGAUUUUAGGAUAAAUUGCUAUGGCAGGUUCACUGGUGUGAUUUUAAAAAAGCUCAUUGGAUAUGGGAAUGUACCCAUGAAAUUAUUUGUGUUGCUUAUGAGAUUCGACGUAAAAAUAAAUAAGACAAGGAGGAGUAUGAAGGUUCUACUUUGUUUUAUGCGUAUUCUAUGUAUUAUUGUCACAUUACGAGAUUUUUUUCUUCUAAUAGCGUUUUAUAUUUGGACAAUAUGACCUAUUUUAGAUGGACAAGAUAUGGUAGACAUGAAUCACAUAGCUCACACAGUAAACAAACAACAGAGUGCAUCCAUUAGUGAGUUUCAGAAUUUUCAUGAUAGCAAUUCAAGUGUUUGGAGGGAGUUGUAUAUGGAUUUCAACGUUUUGUCCAAAUGAAGAAUUGGCGAGGUAGUAGAAUGACCCUGGGAAGAAGAUCCAUUUACGCUAACCGAGGAAGUUAUGGAAAUGAUAUUGUUAGAACUCAAAAGUUGUGCGGGAAUGGUUGUUGGACCAAGUACAUCAGGUAGUUCUUGAACUCAUUUGCUCUUUAAUUUUAUAAAGCUAGAAUUUGUGAUAGAGUUUGUUGUAGGAUUAGAUGAUAAUGUUAUUAGCUAAUGAUGAUCUCAAUUCAGGAAAUUCCAUAUGAUAUUGAACAUAGGUUGGCUAUGUGGAUAUGUGAAUCAGAUGAAUUACAAGGUUAGCAACCUGGAAAUCCGGAGGGGGGCAGCUGUUUGGGACGAAGAUUAGGAUAAGUUUGAAGAUGAAGGUAUGCCAUAUGUUCUUUUUGGUAUGCCAUGAUUUGCUUGAAUUUCUUUUGUUAAUUACUUUUUCUACUUCCAGGAUUUGCCAAUGAUCUCACUUCUGAUACGAAAAGUGCAUCUUCAAAGCCAAAACCUUCAUUCAUUCCUGGAGAGUGAAAUUCCUUUGAUGUUCAUGGUUCGCCUGUGAAUGCAAAUGGGAGGCAAGAAAAUUUCACUAAUGUUGAUUAUAUAGUUGAGGAGGAAUCUUCUUAUGCACACAGUGAAGAUGAUUUGGCAAGAAGCCCUCGCGAUAGCCCAUUUGUAAGGGAUACAGUGGAGAGUCCUUCAAAAGAAUUUUCAACUUCUCCUUUUGCAAAAAGCUCUGAAGCAGAUGCAGAAACACACAGAAUUUUGACGAAUCAACCUGGGGUUCAUUUGACAGUAAUGAUGACGUGGACUCGGUGUGGCGUUUUAACCCUAAGGGCUCUGACUUGGAGAAGCAGGGAGAUUUUUUUCAAUAUGGUGAUUUUGGCUUAAACCCGGUUAGAACAGCAACUACAUUUACAGAUGGUGCUUCCCAGGCAAAAAGCCCCUUUGUUUUUGACGAUUCGGUGCCUAGAAAUCCAUUUUCCAAGUUUGGAAACUCUCCGAGGUACAGCGAGGCAGGGGAUCACUUUGACAGGUCAAUGUUCGAUUCCUCCUUCAGCAUGCAUGAAAGGGGAUAUUCUCCCUAAGCAGAAAGAUUUAUGAGAUUCGAUUUCGUUAGCAGCAUGGAUUUUGGCAACAAUUUUGGCAAUAACCACUUGAAAUUUUCAACAUUUGAUUCCAUUAGUAGCAGCAAGGAUUUUGGCUAUAAUCCCGAUAAAUUUUCAAGGUUUGAUUCCAUGAGUAGCAGCAAAGAUUUUGGUUUCAAUCCUGAGACUCUCACAAGGUUUGAUUCCAUGAGUAGCAGCAAAGAUUUCGGCUUUGGUGGUGAUCAGGGACAUGCAAGGUUUGACUCAAUUAGUAGCAGC